rnacentral:rRNA from 1 species
UACGAAGGGGGCUAGCGUUGCUCGGAAUUACUGGGCGUAAAGCGUGCGUAGACGGUCAUGUAAGUCGGGUGUGAAAGCCCCGGGCUCAACCUGGGAAUUGCAUUCGAGACUGCAUGGCUAGGAUGCGGAAGAGGGAAGCGGAAUUUCCGGUGUAGCGGUGAAAUGCGUAGAUAUCGGAAGGAACACCAGUGGCGAAAGCGGCUUCCUGGUCCAGCAUCGACGUUCAGGCACGAAAGCGUGGGGAGCAAACAGG